UUAUAGAUAGGUUGGAGACGUAUCAUCCGAGUCACCCCCGCAGCAGAUCGAGCGAGCCGCUGAACCUCUCCGUUGAUAGAUGCACCGCCGCCAGCAGGCACGGUCGGAUGGCUCGCCGGUGUGCGCGUGCUUCAAUGUGCGCCGCCGCUGCUUCACCGUCCUCCUCCGUCUCUUCCGGUCAGAUCCGACGGGCACAUCCUCCUGCGGCCACGAGCGACCACCCAACUCCACUCUCGAUUCCCAAAGCCAAAGGCAGAGCCAGCCGCCGCCGGCCUCCAUCGUCUUCCCAACCCCGGCCUCCACUCCACCACCGGCGCCCUUUCCCCUCCCUCUCGGGCUUCGCAACCAGCGUCCAGCAGGUCUACGCACUGGAGCAGUGCGAGGGCGACCUCUCCAACGUCGACUGCAGCAACUGCAUCACCCAGGCCGUGCAGCGCGUCGCGGUCGAGUGCGGCGGCGCUCCCUCCAGCCAGGUCUACCUCAACAAGUGCUACAUUACCUACAGCUACUACUCCCAUGGCGGCGGCCUCGGAGAAACGGUGAGGAUGAUAAGGUGAAGACAAAGUGCUGCUAUGCUCAUGGCAAGAGAUGUGGACAUGUUAACUUUUGCUGACUUGAAUCCGUCCGCCGCUCCUCUAGGCUCUGCACCAUGCCGAGACUUCCGCGUCCCAACUCUCCCUUCUCCCUGGUGGGCUCUCAUCCAACUGGAGACAGCCGCGUCCCCGAUGGCUGCUGCUGGACCUGACCCCUCCUCGUUGCCUGGGCGCAUCCCCGAUGGGGAGUUGGAGGUUGGGUUGUUGAUGUAUGGAAGACUCAUUUCCAGGUUCCAGCCUUGAUUUGUCUCCUCCAAGAAGGAAUACACCAGGAGAAACAGCCGCUGGCCUUGUCCUUCUCGAGGAGGAGCAGGAGGGGCGCACCUAGCCACCACGGUCGCCGCCGUUAAGGGCUUCUUCCACCUGGACCUCGAAAUCAACGCCGCCGACGUCCAGCCACCCAAGGUGAAGGUGCCCCCAACGCCCCUCCGUCCCCUCUCCCCUCCCUAUUUCAUUUGAUCUAGCAGCCAUGGAUUUGGGUUCCUCAAGGUUGCCUAAUUACUUUACUUUGUAUAGAUCCAACAAUUUUGUUUGCUACAGAAUAGCACCACCCUAGUUAGUCUACAAUUUUGCUUACGGUGAUGCCCCUGCACAGGAUGUGCAGCAAGCCUUCCAAUCUUCUUGUUUUGUUUCUGUUGGUGUGUGUGUGUGCAAAAUGAUAGGUGCCUGCCAUGUGGUUUAUAAACACACAGUUAUAACAGUAAGAUGAUAUUCAGGCCCUGUUUGAAGUCACUCCAGCUCCUAAAAAUACAAGGAGUUGCGAAGCAUCUGUUUCCCAGCUUAGUGCUUUUUAACUCCAUCUCCGGGAGCGGAGUGGUGGAGUGGUGGGUCUCCGAACAGGGCCUCAAAUUGCUUAAGAUGUGCUUUCAGUCCUAACUAGACAAUCUCCUGCUUUACAUGUAGUUGCUUUGCAUAUCCUGUAAAUAAUUUCUUGGCACGCCCAUUCUGCCAUGUCAACGAUGAUGAUCUAAUUAUGAUUUCUGCCAAUGGAUGGAUCCACAUGAUGCGACGGACCUGCUGCUGCCGGCUGUCUUCCCCGACCACUUCUGUGAGCUGCUCCUGCCGCUGACCCUCUUCAACUUCGCCCGUUGCCCGCUGUUGCUGCUGGUGCCACUUGACGCAAGUGUGGAGCCUACGCCUCCUUGCUGAAGCUUCUUGCUCUACACCAGCUUACGUUGCUUUCGCUUACGUUGCUUUCGUUGCUGCGAAUGUGGUUAAGAUGGCGUUCUACACCAGCUUCUUAUGUUGCAUAUGAAUGGGGCGAGUAGAUAGAACUGGAGUGAGCAGAUCACUAUAUGACUAAGAAAAUUAGAAAGUGCAUGUAGGAAAAUAUCAUAGCUCUUACUCACUUUGCAAAAAUAACAUGUACUUCUAGCAAUUGUGCCAAGACAUUAGCAUUGCUUGUUUGAGAGCUUAUUCCAAUUACUUGGUACUGGUUUGACUGAUACUUGCUGUUCGUCGAUAAUUAUACCUCUUUUGCUAGUUCUACUGUGAUUCAUGUACACAUGUUGGCUAGAAAUUGCUCUGAUUAUACAUAUAUUUUUAUUAUAUUAUACAUUAAUGUAUUAUGUUAUUAUUUGUGUGCGUGAUGCUUUGAGCCUAUUUUUCCCUUUCCUCCUUGAUUGAUCAAUUCAUGUAAUGUUAUGUUCUUGUAGGAAGGCAAGUUGUCACAUCAGGAGCACAUCAGAGGGAGCAAUGAAGUUUGUACUAUUUGGUUCUUACAAUUAGGACAGUACCGGAUGUGCUAAUACGACUUGAACAAUGUGAUGUAGUUGUAAGUUAAGGCAAAUUGUGUGGAUGAUGUAUUCCUGUGUAAUUAAAUGUUGUAUUCCAUGUGUACAUGCCGCUUUAAAUGACAUCAAGAUUAUGAAAAUUGUGUACAUGCUA